CGAAGAUCGAGAAGCCAAACGUUUAUCUAUAAUCGAACAGUUAGACAGACCCGUGUACACGACCGCGAUUCCCACGUUCGUUUAUUUCCAGCCCGGCAAGGAAAACUUGAAAAAGCAUCCAACUAGGCGAAUAAAUUUGCACGGCACAGGCUCAGAUGCGAUCUGCCGCUGUACAUCAUCGAGACAACGAAGAUCGAGUAAGAGGGUACGAAACGUACGAGCGACGCGGCGGUAAUACGUCGAUUUGCUAGAUUGCGCGCUAGUCGUUCGCCUCGCGAGAGCAUCCAACUGUAUCUGUAUUCCAUCGACGAUAUCGUCAUUUUCACGAACAACUUCGUACACGUAGGCAGAUCGUGUCCUCGGCC
rnacentral:misc_RNA from 1 species